AUCUGCUCACCCUAUUGAUCCCCAGGGUUGAUUGGACUGAUCUGGAUGGCUAGGUGGGU
rnacentral:sRNA from 1 species